rnacentral:lncRNA from 1 species
GCCUUGUUUACUUCCACCCAAAAACACAAAAUUUUUCAAGAUUCUCUGUCACAUCGAAUCUUUAGACGUAUGCAUGAAGUAUUAAAUAUAAACGAAAAUAAAAAAUAAUUGCACAAUUUGGUCGAAAUUGACGAGACGAAUCUUUUGAGCCUAGUUAGUCUAUGAUUAGACAAUAAUUAUCACAAACAAACGAAAGUACUACAGUGUCACGAAAUUUUUUCCUUAAGGAACUGAACAAGGCC